UACGUAGGGUGCUAGCGUUGUCCGGAUUUAUUGGGCGUAAAGAGCGUGUAGGCGGCCAGGUAGGUCUGCUGUGAAAACUCGAGGCUCAACCUCGAGACGUCGGCGGAAACCAUCUGGCUAGAGUCCGGAAGAGGAGAGUGGAAUUCCUGGUGUAGCGGUGAAAUUCGUAGAUAUUAGGAAGAACACCAGUGGCGAAGGCGGCUCACCGGUCCGGUACUGACGCUGAGGUGCGAAAGCGUGGGGAGCAAACAGG
rnacentral:rRNA from 1 species